rnacentral:rRNA from 1 species
GAUCAUGGCUCAGGAUGAACGCUGGCGGCGUGCUUAANACAUGCAAGUCGAACGGAGUGAAUAAAACGGAAGUUUUCGGAUGGAAGUUUUACUUACUUAGUGGCGGACGGGUGAGUAACGCGUGAGGAACCUGCCUUUCAGAGGGGGACAACAGUUGGAAACGACUGCUAAUACCGCAUAACGCAUAGGAGUCGCAUGGCUCUUAUGCCAAAGAUUUAUCGCUGAAAGAUGGCCUCGCGUCUGAUUAGCUAGUUAGUGAGGUAAGGCCCACCAAGGCGACGAUCAGUAGCCGGACUGAGAGGAUGAACGGCCACAUUGGGACUGAGAUACGGCCCAGACUCCUACGGGAGGCAGCAGUGGGGAAUAUUGCACAAUGGGGGAAACCCUGAUGCAGCAACGCCGCGUGAGGGAAGACGGUUUUCGGAUUGUAAACCUCUGUCCUCUGUGAAGAAGAAAGUGACGGUAGCAGAGGAGGAAGCCACGGCUAACUACGUG